UACAGAACGAACGCUGGCGGCGCGUCUUAAGCAUGCAAGUCGAACGGCAAGAGGUAGCAAUACCUCCUAGAGUGGCGGACUGGUGAGUAACACGUGGGUGACAUACCCUUCAGAUGGGGAUAGCUAUUAGAAAUAGUAGAUAAUACCGAAUACGAGCACAGGGGUUAGAGAUCUGUGAGGAAAGGAGCUAAGGCUCCGCUGAAGGAAUGGCCUGCGGCCCAUUAGCUAGUUGGUGAGGUAAGAGCCCACCAAGGCGAUGAUGGGUAUCCGGCCUUAGAGGGUGAACGGACACAUUGGGACUGAGAUACGGCCCAGACUCCUACGGGAGGCAGCAGCUAAGAAUAUUCCGCAAUGGACGAAAGUCUGACGGAGCGACGCCGCCGUGGAUGAAGAAGGCCGGAAGGUUGUAAAAUCCUUUUGAAACUGAAGAAUAAGCGUUGUAGGGAAUGACAGCGUGGUGACAGUAGGUUUUGAAUAAGCAACGGCUAAUUACGUGCCAGCCGCCGC
rnacentral:rRNA from 1 species